rnacentral:rRNA from 1 species
GACGAACGCUGGCGGCGUGCUUAACACAUGCAAGUCGAACGGAAAGGCCCUGCUUUUGUGGGGUGCUCGAGUGGCGAACGGGUGCGUAACACGUGAGUAACCUGCCCUUGACUUUGGGAUAACUUCAGGAAACUGGGGCUAAUACCGGAUAGGAGCUCCUGCUGCAUGGUGGGGGUUGGAAAGUUUCGGCGGUUGGGGAUGGACUCGCGGCUUAUCAGCUUGUUGGUGGGGUAGUGGCUUACCAAGGCUUUGACGGGUAGCCGGCCUGAGAGGGUGACCGGCGACAUUGGGACUGAGAUACGGACCAGAGUCCUACGGGAGGCAGCAGUGGCGAAUAUUGCACAGUGGGCGGAAGCCUGAUGCAGCAACGCCGCGUGCGGAAUGACGGCCUGCGGGUUGUAAACCGCUGUCGCCUGUGACGAAGCGUGAGUGACGGUAAUGGGUAAAGAAGCACCGGCUAACUACGUG